rnacentral:rRNA from 1 species
GUAGGGGGCUAGCGUUAUCCGGAAUUACUGGGCGUAAAGGGUGCGUAGGUGGUUUCUUAAGUCAGAGGUGAAAGGCUACGGCUCAACCGUAGUAAGCCUUUGAAACUGGGAAACUUGAGUGCAGGAGAGGAGAGUGGAAUUCCUAGUGUAGCGGUGAAAUGCGUAGAUAUUAGGAGGAACACCAGUGGCGAAGGCGGAUUGCUGGACGAUAACUGACGGUGAGGCGCGAAAGUGUGGGGAGCAAACAGGAUUAGAUACCCUGGUAGUCCACACUGUAAACGAUGAAUACUAGGUGCGCGGGGACUGACCCCCUGCGUGCCGCAGUAAACACAAUAAGUA